UACGUAGGGUGCGAGCAUUAAUCGGAUUUAUUGGGCGUAAAGGGCGCGUAGGCGGGAAGAUAAGUCAGAUGUGAAAGCCCGGGGCUCAACCCCGGAACUGCAUUUGAAACUAUCAUUCUAGAGGGUAGGCGGAGAAAAUGGAAUUCCACAAGUAGCGGUGAAAUGCGUAGAUAUGUGGAAGAACACCAGUGGCGAAGGCGAUUUUCUAGCUUAUACCUGACGCUGAGGCGCGAAAGCAAGGGGAGCAAACAGG
rnacentral:rRNA from 1 species